rnacentral:rRNA from 1 species
UGGGGAAUAUUGGACAAUGGGGGCAACCCUGAUCCAGCCAUGCCGCGUGCGUGAAGAAGGCCUUAGGGUUGUAAAGCGCUUUCGGCGGGGAAGAUGAUGACGGUACCCGCAAAAGAAGCCCCGGCUAACUCCGUGCCAGCAGCCGCGGUAAUACGGAGGGGGCUAGCGUUGUUCGGAAUUACUGGGCGUAAAGGGCGCGUAGGCGGACCAUUAAGUCAGAGGUGAAAGGCCUGGGCUCAACCCGGGAACUGCCUUUGAAACUGAAGGUCUAGAGGCCGAGAGAGGUUAGCGGAAUUCCCAGUGUAGAGGUGAAAUUCGUAGAUAUUGGGAAGAACACCAGUGGCGAAGGCGGCUAUCUGGCUCGGUUCUGACGCUGAGGCGCGAAAGCGUGGGGAGCAAACAGGAUUAGAUACCCUGGUAGUCCACGCUGUAAACGAUGUGUGCUAGCCGUUGGAAAACUUGUUUUUCAGUGGCGCAGCUAACGCGUUAAGCACACCGCCUGGGGAGUACGGUCGCAAGAUUA